CGAACGGGUGAGUAACACGUGGGCAACCUGCCCAAAAGAGGGGGAUAACACUUGGAAACAGGUGCUAAUACCGCAUAACCAUAGUUACCGCAUGGUAACUAUGUAAAAGGUGGCUAUGCUACCGCUUUUGGAUGGGCCCGCGGCGCAUUAGCUAGUUGGUGGGGUAAAGGCUUACCAAGGCAAUGAUGCGUAGCCGAACUGAGAGGUUGAUCGGCCACAUUGGGACUGAGACACGGCCCAGACUCCUACGGGAGGCAGCAG
rnacentral:rRNA from 1 species